rnacentral:rRNA from 1 species
UGCUGGAGGUAUCAGAAGUGCGAAUGCUGACAUAAGUAACGAUAAAGCGGGUGAAAAGCCCGCUCGCCGGAAGACCAAGGGUUCCUGUCCAACGUUAAUCGGGGCAGGGUGAGUCGACCCCUAAGGCGAGGCCGAAAGGCGUAGUCGAUGGGAAACAGGUUAAUAUUCCUGUACUUGGUGUUACUGCGAAGGGGGGACGGAGAAGGCUAUGUCAGCCGGGCGACGGUUGUCCCGGUUUAAGCAUGUAGGCGGAGGUUCCAGGUAAAUCCGGUACCUUAUUAACGCUGAGGUGUGAUGACGAGGCACUACGGUGCUGAAGUGAUAAAUGCCCUGCUUCCAGGAAAAGCCUCUAAGCAUCAGGUAACACGAAAUCGUACCCCAAACCGACACAGGUGGUCAGGUAGAGAAUACCAAGGCGCUUGAGAGAACUCGGGUGAAGGAACUAGGCAAAAUGGUGCCGUAACUUCGGGAGAAGGCACGCUGAUAUGUAGGUGAAGUCCCUGCGGACGGAGCUGAAAUCAGUCGAAGAUACCAGCUGGCUGCAACUGUUUAUUAAAAACACAGCACUGUGCAAACACGAAAGUGGACGUAUACGGUGUGACGCCUGCCCGGUGCCGGAAGGUUAAUUGAUGGGGUCAGCGGCAACGCGAAGCUCUUGAUCGAAGCCCCGGUAAACGGCGGCCGUAACUAUAACGGUCCUAAGGUAGCGAAAUUCCUUGUCGGGUAAGUUCCGACCUGCACGAAUGGCGUAAUGAUGGCCAGGCUGUCUCCACCCGAGACUCAGUGAAAUUGAACUCGCUGUGAAGAUGCAGUGUACCCGCGGCAAGACGGAAAGACCCCGUGAACCUUUACUAUAGCUUGACACUGAACACUGGUCCUUGAUGUGUAGGAUAGGUGGGAGGCUUUGAAGCGUGGACGCCAGUCUGCGUGGAGCCAACCUUGAAAUACCACCCUUUAAUGGCUGGUGUUCUAACGUAGACCCGUAAUCCGGGUUGCGGACAGUGUCUGGUGGGUAGUUUGACUGGGGCGGUCUCCUCCCAAAGAGUAACGGAGGAGCACGAAGGUUGGCUAAUCCUGGUCGGACAUCAGGAGGUUAGUGCAAUGGCAUAAGCCAGCUUGACUGCGAGCGUGACGGCGCGAGCAGGUGCGAAAGCAGGUCAUAGUGAUCCGGUGGUUCUGAAUGGAAGGGCCAUCGCUCAACGGAUAAAAGGUACUCCGGGGAUAACAGGCUGAUACCGCCCAAGAGUUCAUAUCGACGGCGGUGUUUGGCACCUCGAUGUCGGCUCAUCACAUCCUGGGGCUGAAGUAGGUCCCAAGGGUAUGGCUGUUCGCCAUUUAAAGUGGUACGCGAGCUGGGUUUAGAACGUCGUGAGACAGUUCGGUCCCUAUCUGCCGUGGGCGCUGGAGAAUUGAGGGGGGCUGCUCCUAGUACGAGAGGACCGGAGUGGACGCAUCACUGGUGUUCGGGUUGUCAUGCCAAUGGCACUGCCCGGUAGCUAAAUGCGGAA